rnacentral:misc_RNA from 1 species
GAAAUGCGAUAAGUAAUGUGAAUUGAGAAUUCAGUGAAUCAUCGAAUCUUUGAACGCACCUUGCGCUCCUUGGUAUUCCUUGGAGCAUGCCUGUUUGAGUAUCAUGAAAUCUUCAAAGUAAAUCUUUUGUUAACUCAAUUGGUUUCUACUUUGGUAUUGGAGGUCUUUGCAGCUUCACACCUGCUCCUCUUUGUUCAUUAGCUGGAUCUCAGUGUUAUGCUUGGUUCCACUCGGCGUGAUAAGUUAUCUAUCGCUGAGGACACUGUAAAAGGUGGCCAAGGUAAAUGCAGAUGAACCGCUUCUAAUAGUCCAUUGACUUGGACAAUACUUUUAUGAUCUGAUCUCAAAUCAGGUAGGACUACCCGCUGAACUUAAGC